rnacentral:rRNA from 1 species
UACGUAGGGUGCGAGCGUUGUCCGGAAUUAUUGGGCGUAAAGAGCUCGUAGGCGGUGUGUCACGUCGGCCGUGAAAACCUGCAGCUUAACUGUGGGCUUGCGGUCGAUACGGGCAUCACUGGAGUUCGGCAGGGGAGACUGGAAUUCCUGGUGUAGCGGUGAAAUGCGCAGAUAUCAGGAGGAACACCGGUGGCGAAGGCGGGUCUCUGGGCCGUAACUGACGCUGAGGAGCGAAAGCAUGGGGAGCGAACAGG